UUUUUUCUUUUUAUUUUUUAUUUUUCUAUCUUUUUUUCUUUUAUCAUUCUCGGUUAUUUUCUAUUGUAUUUUUAUAAUUUUUCAUUCACUUUUUCUCCUUUCAAAUUUUUCUUCUUUUUUUUUUAUGUGCUUUCAUUUUUUUUUUUUGUUCACUUUUUCCUUUGUUUUAAAAUUUUCUAUAAAGUUUUUUCUUUUUCUUUUCUUUCAUAUCUUUGCCUCAUCACUUUUUCCUUUUUUCUUCUUUUUCUCAUUUUUUUCUCAAAUUUUAUUUUAUGUAUUUUGUAUUUUCCUUUUUUAUUUUUUUCUUGCUUUUUCUUAAAUCUUUUUGUUCACACUUUUUUUUAUUUCUUCUUUAUAAUUUUAAAACCUCAAACUUCUUUUAUUUUUAUUUAUACUUUUUGUUAACUUUUAUUUUUCAUCUUUCAUAUUUUAUAUCUUUGUCAUCUAUUUUUUUUUUUUUGUUUUUCUUUGUACAUUCUAAACUAAAAGUUUUUUCCAUUUUAUAUUUGAAAUUUUUAUUCAUUUUGUCUUUUUAUAUUUUUUUGAUUCGCUAAUAUUUUAUUUUCUUACUUUGUUACUUUUUUCUUUUUGUUUAUUUUAUUUUUUCUCUUAAUUUAUUUUUUCAUUUAUUUUUAUUUAUAUUUUAAAAAAUUUUUAUAAUGUUCAAAUUUUUUUUUUGUAUUUUUGGAAUCUUUUUAUAUUUUUUCUACUUUGUAAUUUUUUAAUAACUUUUCCUUCACAAUUUUCCUUCUUUUUGCUUUUUUUUUUUUUUUUCAUAUUCUUUCAUUUUUACUUGUUUUAAUUUUUCGUUGUUUAAAAUUUUAUUUUUCCUAUUUUUAAUCCAAAUCUUUUUCUUUUCAUUUUUAUUCUUUUCUUGCUAUUCUAUUUUUUUCCCCACAAGUUUCCUUUCAUUUCUUAUUUGCGUUUUAAAUUCUCAUACUUUUUUAUUUUGCAUUACUUUUCUCUUUUUUAUUUUUUGGUCUGACUUUUUUAUAUUGUUAGGUUCUUAUAUGUUUUUCAAUUUUUACAUUUUUUAAACUAUUUUUUUCUUUUUGUCAUUCCAUUUCAUUUUUUGAAAUUUUUAAAAAAUUUACCUUUUUUAUUUUCUUACUUUUAUAUUUUUUGUUGUUUUUUUGUUUUCUUAUUUUUUAUUUUUUCCUUUUUUCGUGUUUUAUUUAAUUUUUUCACUUAUUUUUUAUUUAUAUUUUAAAAAAAUUUUAUAAAGUUCAAAAUUUUUUUUUCUACUUUGUAAUUUUUUAAUUACUAUUUCCCUUCACAAUUUUCCUUCGUUUUGCUUUUUUUUUCAUAUGCUUUCAUUUUUACUUGUUUUAAUUUUUUUGAUGUUUUAAAAAUUUUUAUUUUUCUAUUUUUUCCUCCAAAUCUUUUGCCAUUCUAUUUUUUUCCCACAAAUUUCCUUUCAUUUCUUAUUUGCGUUUUUAAAUUCUCAUACUUAUUUUAAUUUGCAUAAACUUUUCUUUUUUUUUCAUUUUUUGUCUGACUUUUUAUAUUGUUAGGUCUUAUAUGUUUUUCAAUUUUUUGUUUUUUUUAAACUAUUUUUUUUCUUUUUCUCAUUCCAUUUCAUUUUUGAAAUUUUUAUUCAAUUUUUGUUCUUUUUUAUUUUCUUACUUUUUAUAUUUUUGGUUGUUUUUUUCUUUUUUCCUUUUUCGUAUUUCAUUUAAUUUAUUUUUCACUUAUUUUUUAUUUAUAUUUUAAAAUUUUUUAUAAAGUUCAAUUUUUUUUUGAAUCUUUUUAUUUUCUUAUUUUUUUCUAGUUUGUAAUAUAUUUUAAAAACUUUUUAGAAAGUUCAAAAUUUUUUUGUAUUUUUUGAAUCUUUUUAUAUUUUUUCUACCUUGUAAUUUUUUAAUAACUUUUCCCUUCACAAUUUUCCUUCUUUUGCUUUUUUUCAUAUGCUUUCAUUUUACUUCUUUUAAUUUUUCGUUCUUUUAAAAAUUUUUAUUUUUCUAUUUUUUAUCCAAAUCUUUUGUCUUUUCAUUUUUAUUCUUUUCUUGCUAUUCUAUUUUUUCCCACAAAUUUCCUUUCAUUUCUUAUUUGCGUUUUUAAAUUCCAUACUUUUUUAUUUUGCAUUAACUUUUCUCUUUUUUAAUUUUUUGUCUGACUUUUUAUAUUGUUAGGUCUUAUAUGUUUUCAAUUUUUUGUAUUUUUUAAGCUAUUUUUUUUCUUUUUCUCAUUCCAUUUCAUUUUUGAAAUUUUUAUUCAAUUUUUGUCCUUUUUUAUUUUCUUACUUUUUAUAUUUUUUGCUGUUUUUUUCUCUUUUAUUUUUUCCUUUUUUCGUAUUUUAUUUAAUUUAUUUUUUCACUUAUUUUUUAUUUAUAUUUUAAAAACUUUUUAUAAAGUUCAAAUUUUUUUUUAAUCUUUUUUACUUUCUUAUUUUUUUCUAGUUUGUAAUAUAUUUUAAAAACUUUUUAAAAAGUUCAAAGUUUUUUUUUUUUUUUUUUUGAAUCUUUUUUAUAUUUUUUCCACUUUGUAAUUUUUUUAAUAACUUUUUCCCUGCACAAUUUUCCUUCUUUUUGCUUUUUUUUCAUAUGCUUUCAUUUUUACUUGUUUUAAUUUUUUCUUUGUUUUAAAAAUUUUUAUUUUUCUAUUUUUUAAUCCAAAUCUUUUGUCUUUUCAUUUUUAUUCUUUGCUUGCUAUUCUAUUUUUUUCCCACAAAUUUCCUUUCAUUUCUUAUUUGCGUUUUUAAAUUCUCAUACUUUUUUUAUUUUGCAUUAACUUUUCUCUUUUUUAAUUUUUUGUCUGACAUUUUAUAUUGUUAGGUCUUAUAUGUUUUUCAAUUUUUUUGCAUUUUUUUAACUAUUUUUUUUCUUUUUGUCAUUCUAUUUCAUUUUUGAACUUUUUAUUCAAUUUUUGUCCUUUUUUAUUUUGUUACUUUUUAUAUUUUUUGUUGUAUUUUUUUUCUCUUUUUUUGGGCUUUAUUUAUCUUUUUUCUUUUGCUUUUAUUUUUUUUCUUUUUAUUUUUUAUUUUUCUAUCUUUUUUUCUUUUAUCAUUCUCGGUUAUUUUCUAUUGUAUUUUUAUAAUUUUUCAUUCACUUUUUCUCCUUUCAAAUUUUUCUUCUUUUUUUUUUAUGUGCUUUCAUUUUUUUUUUUGUUCACUUUUUCCUUUGUUUUAAAAUUUUCUAUAAAGUUUUUUCUUUUUCUUUUCUUUCAUAUCUUUGCCUCAUCACUUUUUCCUUUUUUCUUCUUUUUCUCAUUUUUUUCUCAAAUUUUAUUUUAUGUAUUUUGUAUUUUCCUUUUUUAUUUUUUUCUUGCUUUUUCUUAAAUCUUUUUGUUCACACUUUUUUUUUAUUUCUUCUUUAUAAUUUUAAAACCUCAAACUUCUUUUUUUGUGCACUUUCUUUUAUUUUUAUUUAUACUUUUUGUUAACUUUUAUUUUUCAUCUUUCAUAUUUUAUAUCUUUGUCAUCUAUUUUUUUUUUUUUUUGUUUUUCUUUGUACAUUCUAAACUAAAAGUUUUUUCCAUUUUAUAUUUGAAAUUUUUAUUCAUUUUGUCUUUUUAUAUUUUUUUGAUUCGCUAAUAUUUUAUUUUCUUACUUUGUUACUUUUUGUUUAUUUUUAUUUUUUCUCUUAAUUUAUUUUUUCAUUUAUUUUUUAUUUAUAUUUUAAAAAAUUUUUAUAAUGUUCAAAUUUUUUUUGUAUUUUUUUUAUAUUUUUUCUACUUUGUAAUUUUUUAAUAACUUUUUCCCUUCACAAUUUUCCUUCUUUUUGCUUUUUUUUUUUUUUUUUUCAUAUGCUUUCAUUUUUACUUGUUUUAAUUUUUUCGUUGUUUUAAAAAUUUUUAUUUUUCUAUUUUUUAAUCCAAAUCUUUUGUCUUUUCAUUUUUAUUCUUUUCUUGCUAUUCUAUUUUUUUCCCACAAAUUUCCUUUCAUUUCUUAUUUGCGUUUUUAAAUUCUCAUACUUUUUUUAUUUUGCAUUAACUUUUCUCUUUUUUAAUUUUUUGUCUGACUUUUUAUAUUGUUAGGUCUUAUAUGUUUUUCAAUUUUUUACAUUUUUUAAACUAUUUUUUUCUUUUUGUCAUUCCAUUUCAUUUUUUGAAAUUUUUAAAAAAUUUACCUUUUUUAUUUUCUUACUUUUUAUAUUUUUUGUUGUUUUUUUGUUUUCUUAUUUUUUUAUUUUUUCCUUUUUUCGUGUUUUAUUUAAUUUUUUCACUUAUUUUUUAUUUAUAUUUUAAAAAAAUUUUAUAAAGUUCAAAAUUUUUUUUUCUACUUUGUAAUUUUUUAAUUACUAUUUCCCUUCACAAUUUUCCUUCGUUUUGCUUUUUUUUUCAUAUGCUUUCAUUUUUACUUGUUUUAAUUUUUUUGAUGUUUUAAAAAUUUUUAUUUUUCUAUUUUUUCCUCCAAAUCUUUUGCCAUUCUAUUUUUUUCCCACAAAUUUCCUUUCAUUUCUUAUUUGCGUUUUUAAAUUCUCAUACUUAUUUUAAUUUGCAUAAACUUUUCUUUUUUUUUCAUUUUUUGUCUGACUUUUUAUAUUGUUAGGUCUUAUAUGUUUUUCAAUUUUUUGUUUUUUUUAAACUAUUUUUUUUCUUUUUCUCAUUCCAUUUCAUUUUUGAAAUUUUUAUUCAAUUUUUGUUCUUUUUUAUUUUCUUACUUUUUAUAUUUUUGGUUGUUUUUUUCUUUUUUCCUUUUUUCGUAUUUCAUUUAAUUUAUUUUUUCACUUAUUUUUUAUUUAUAUUUUAAAAUUUUUUUAUAAAGUUCAAUUUUUUUUUUGAAUCUUUUUUAUUUUCUUAUUUUUUUUCUAGUUUGUAAUAUAUUUUAAAAACUUUUUAGAAAGUUCAAAAUUUUUUUUGUAUUUUUUGAAUCUUUUUUAUAUUUUUUCUACCUUGUAAUUUUUUAAUAACUUUUUCCCUUCACAAUUUUCCUUCUUUUUGCUUUUUUUUCAUAUGCUUUCAUUUUUACUUCUUUUAAUUUUUUCGUUCUUUUAAAAAUUUUUAUUUUUCUAUUUUUUUAUCCAAAUCUUUUGUCUUUUCAUUUUUAUUCUUUUCUUGCUAUUCUAUUUUUUUCCCACAAAUUUCCUUUCAUUUCUUAUUUGCGUUUUUAAAUUCCCAUACUUUUUUAAUUUUUUGUCUGACUUUUUAUAUUGUUAGGUCUUAUAUGUUUUUCAAUUUUUUGUAUUUUUUAAGCUAUUUUUUUUCUUUUUCUCAUUCCAUUUCAUUUUUGAAAUUUUUAUUCAAUUUUUGUCCUUUUUUAUUUUCUUACUUUUUAUAUUUUUUGCUGUUUUUUUCUUUUUUCCUUUUUUCGUAUUUUAUUUAAUUUAUUUUUUCACUUAUUUUUUAUUUAUAUUUUAAAAACUUUUUAUAAAGUUCAAAUUUUUUUUUAAUCUUUUUUACUUUCUUAUUUUUUUCUAGUUUGUAAUAUAUUUUAAAAACUUUUUAAAAAGUUCAAAGUUUUUUUUUUUUUUUUUUUGAAUCUUUUUUAUAUUUUUUCCACUUUGUAAUUUUUUUAAUAACUUUUUCCCUGCACAAUUUUCCUUCUUUUUGCUUUUUUUUCAUAUGCUUUCAUUUUUACUUGUUUUAAUUUUUUCUUUGUUUUAAAAAUUUUUAUUUUUCUAUUUUUUAAUCCAAAUCUUUUGUCUUUUCAUUUUUAUUCUUUGCUUGCUAUUCUAUUUUUUUCCCACAAAUUUCCUUUCAUUUCUUAUUUGCGUUUUUAAAUUCUCAUACUUUUUUUAUUUUGCAUUAACUUUUCUCUUUUUUAAUUUUUUGUCUGACUUUUUAUAUUGUUAGGUCUUAUAUGUUUUUCAAUUUUUUGUAUUUUUUUAACUAUUUUUUUCUUUUUGUCAUUCUAUUUCAUUUUUGAACUUUUUAUUCAAUUUUUGUCCUUUUUAUUUUGUUACUUUUUAUAUUUUUUGUUGUAUUUUUUUCUCUUUUUUGGGCUUUAUUUAUCUUUUUCUUUUGCUUUUAUUUUUUUUCUUUUUAUUUUUUAUUUUUCUAUCUUUUUUUCUUUUAUCAUUCUCGGUUAUUUUCUAUUGUAUUUUUAUAAUUUUUCAUUCACUUUUCUCCUUUCAAAUUUUUCUUCUUUUUUUUUAUGUGCUUUCAUUUUUUUUUUGUUCACUUUUCCUUUGUUUUAAAAUUUUCUAUAAAGUUUUUUCUUUUUCUUUUCUUUCAUAUCUUUGCCUCAUCACUUUUUCCUUUUUUCUUCUUUUUCUCAUUUUUUUCUCAAAUUUUAUUUUAUGUAUUUUGUAUUUUCCUUUUUUAUUUUUUUCUUGCUUUUUCUUAAAUCUUUUUGUUCACACUUUUUUUUUAUUUCUUCUUUAUAAUUUUAAAACCUCAAACUUCUUUUUUUGUGCACUUUCUUUUAUUUUUAUUUAUACUUUUUGUUAACUUUUAUUUUUCAUCUUUCAUAUUUUAUAUCUUUGUCAUCUAUUUUUUUUUUUUUUUGUUUUUCUUUGUACAUUCUAAACUAAAAGUUUUUUCCAUUUUAUAUUUGAAAUUUUUAUUCAUUUUGUCUUUUUAUAUUUUUUUGAUUCGCUAAUAUUUUAUUUUCUUACUUUGUUACUUUUUUCCUUUUGUUUAUUUUUAUUUUUUCUCUUAAUUUAUUUUUUCAUUUAUUUUUUAUUUAUAUUUUAAAAAAUUUUUAUAAUGUUCAAAUUUUUUUUUGUAUUUUUGGAAUCUUUUUUAUAUUUUUUCUACUUUGUAAUUUUUUAAUAACUUUUUCCCUUCACAAUUUUCCUUCUUUUUGCUUUUUUUUUUUUUUUUUUCAUAUUCUUUCAUUUUUACUUGUUUUAAUUUUUUCGUUGUUUUAAAAAUUUUUAUUUUUCUAUUUUUUAAUCCAAAUCUUUUUUCUUUUCAUUUUUGUUCUUUUCUUGCUAUUCUAUUUUUUUUCCCACAAGUUUCCUUUCAUUUCUUAUUUGCGUUUUUAAAUUCUCAUACUUUUUUUAUUUUGCAUUAACUUUUCUCUUUUUUUAUUUUUUGUCUGACUUUUUAUAUUGUUAGGUCUUAUAUGUUUUUCAAUUUUUUACAUUUUUUAAACUAUUUUUUUUCUUUUUGUCAUUCCAUUUCAUUUUUUGAAAUUUUUAAAAAAUUUACCUUUUUUAUUUUCUUACUUUUUAUAUUUUUUGUUGUUUUUUUGUUUUCUUAUUUUUUUAUUUUUUCCUUUUUUCGUGUUUUAUUUAAUUUUUUCACUUAUUUUUUAUUUAUAUUUUAAAAAAAUUUUAUAAAGUUCAAAAUUUUUUUUUCUACUUUGUAAUUUUUUAAUUACUAUUUCCCUUCACAAUUUUCCUUCGUUUUGCUUUUUUUUUCAUAUGCUUUCAUUUUUACUUGUUUUAAUUUUUUUGAUGUUUUAAAAAUUUUUAUUUUUCUAUUUUUUCCUCCAAAUCUUUUGCCAUUCUAUUUUUUUCCCACAAAUUUCCUUUCAUUUCUUAUUUGCGUUUUUAAAUUCUCAUACUUAUUUUAAUUUGCAUAAACUUUUCUUUUUUUUUCAUUUUUUGUCUGACUUUUUAUAUUGUUAGGUCUUAUAUGUUUUUCAAUUUUUUGUUUUUUUAAACUAUUUUUUUUCUUUUUCUCAUUCCAUUUCAUUUUUGAAAUUUUUAUUCAAUUUUUGUUCUUUUUAUUUUCUUACUUUUUAUAUUUUUGGUUGUU
rnacentral:lncRNA from 1 species